rnacentral:misc_RNA from 1 species
GGGUUGCCCAAAUUAUUCGUGGGUACUUCUGAGAAUCUUUGAAAAUGGAAGGAGAAAUAGUUUGCGCUGAUGGGUUGUUGGCGAAUAUAGAAAAUGAAGUGAAAUUAGAAGAAGAUGAAGAAGAUUUUUGUAGCUGCUGUGAAGAUGAGAAGGAAUUGGAAGAUAGGGCGGAUGAAACAUCGGAGGAAGAAGAGGAUGAAGUGACAGAGGACGAGGACGAGGAGGAAUCAGCAAGGGAGAGUUGUGAAGUAGAUCUUGAUGAACAUUCUGUGAAGUUAUUCUUUAAGGGCAUUUCUAUAGCUGGUCCUGGAGACUCUGGUUGCAGGGUAUCUGGAAUUGGAGUGGUUAUAGAGAGGGCAGAAAGUGCUCCUCCUAUUCAAAUCCAGAAAAAGCUUGAUUUUUAUGUGGAGGAAUUUGUGGCAGAUUAUUUGGCUUUGAUGGAUGGAUUGCUGGAAGCUGUGAAGAACAAGAUUAGAAAGGUUUAC